rnacentral:lncRNA from 1 species
UUCACAAAGUUUCUUUUGAUGGACCAUCUUUUACCAUUUAUAUUUGUUUCACAGCUCACUAGACUGCCGACUGCUUAUUAAUAGUGUAUGACAAGACACUCAUACGGAAUAAAAUCCACACCUUUAAAGAGGACGAUGGAAACCUCUGAAGGUUUGUAAACGAUUUUCUCCCCCCAAUUUCCCUUUUGCAGUGGCCAGGCAAAGUCAGCUCAGCAGGCCCCAGUGAAAGGAAAGGGAAAAUCCAAGUCAUAGUCACCGUUCGUGUGCGUCCAGCUCAGCAGGAACAUCGGCUCCCUUUUAUCAGGUUCUCUUUUGCGCAGGGCCACGCGCGCAUCUCAGUCCAGGCUCGGCUCGGGCGGUCAGGGCGCUUGUCAGCAGCUCCCGGCCCUUCCGUGCCCCUCCCGCUUACCCUCCUGAGCCACUUCCGAGCUCAAGUAAAACUCAGGGCUUUAGUAGAGUGCUGGGCAGCUCAGGCGGUCCAGCAGCCGGUCUUUAGGGAAGCGCUUAUGGAAUAAGCUGGAUGGCUCCGCUGAGCGGGAAACAGAGCACCUAAAGGAACUUCUCGGGCAUUUAAAAACCCAGAAUGUGUUUAAAAAGACAAACCAAGAAGGAACUGGGUGGGGAAUGGCUGGUGGCGGGAAGGGCCUCCGGCCUGGGCCCCGGCAAAACCUCGGCCGUCUCGGCCCCUCUGGUUCCUCCUCUGGACGGAGAGGAUUGGCGAGCUGGCUCUGGCCUUCCCUUUUGGCUCUGAAUUCUUGGACUCCAAUGACUGCCAAUACUACAACUCAUAAACCAAUAAAGAAAGAAAACACAUCCUCAUCCCCAUCAGGGUGAGCCGGAAAGGGCCCUUCAGAGGAGGAAGCAGCCGGCUCCCCCUGGUUGCUAGGCAACGGGCAUGCCUUCUGCUCCUGAGGCUGCAGAGAGAGGCUGUCUGAGGACCAGGAAACAUGGCACAGCCUCGGCAGCAGCCGGGUCUUCCCAACUUCAAGCCAAUCCACCCAAUCUACUGUGUCUGCUGGCCUAGAAGAGGGGGUAUCCCUAUAGCUGUUGAACUCUGCCUGGGCAUGCAAAAGCACCCUCAGGUGGGCGCUGGGGCUCUUGUUCCUGGAUUUCCCUGGGCAGGUCCUUUCGAGAAGAGCUCCGGGAUCAGAAGAUACGAGUUCCCAUUCCCACGCUGCCUUCCUUGAGCUGUGUGAUCUUGGGGGGAUCACUUCCGCUUUCUCACAUUUGUCCAAUAAAAGGUGGGCUACUUAAGGGCCUUUCGCCCUC